CCUGCGGAAGGAUCAUAGUAAUCGUCU
rnacentral:rRNA from 2 species